rnacentral:rRNA from 1 species
GUUAAGCGACUAAGCGUACACGGUGGAUGCCCUGGCAGUCAGAGGCGAUGAAGGACGUGCUAAUCUGCGAUAAGCGUCGGUAAGGUGAUAUGAACCGUUAUAACCGGCGAUUUCCGAAUGGGGAAACCCAGUGUGAUUCGUCACACUAUCAUUAACUGAAUCCAUAGGUUAAUGAGGCGAACCGGGGGAACUGAAACAUCUAAGUACCCCGAGGAAAAGAAAUCAACCGAGAUUCCCCCAGUAGCGGCGAGCGAACGGGGAGCAGCCCAGAGCCUGAAUCAGUGUGUGUGUUAGUGGAAGCGUCUGGAAAGGCGCGCGAUACAGGGUGACAGCCCCGUACACAAAAAUGCACAUGCUGUGAGCUCGAUGAGUAGGGCGGGACACGUGGUAUCCUGUCUGAAUAUGGGGGGACCAUCCUCCAAGGCUAAAUACUCCUGACUGACCGAUAGUGAACCAGUACCGUGAGGGAAAGGCGAAAAGAACCCCGGCGAGGGGAGUGAAAAAGAACCUGAAACCGUGUACGUACAAGCAGUGGGAGCACGCUUAGGCGUGUGACUGCGUACCUUUUGUAUAAUGGGUCAGCGACUUAUAUUCUGUAGCAAGGUUAACCGAAUAGGGGAGCCGAAGGGAAACCGAGUCUUAACUGGGCGUUAAGUUGCAGGGUAUAGACCCGAAACCCGGUGAUCUAGCCAUGGGCAGGUUGAAGGUUGGGUAACACUAACUGGAGGACCGAACCGACUAAUGUUGAAAAAUUAGCGGAUGACUUGUGGCUGGGGGUGAAAGGCCAAUCAAACCGGGAGAUAGCUGGUUCUCCCCGAAAGCUAUUUAGGUAGCGCCUCGUGAAUUCAUCUCCGGGGGUAGAGCACUGUUUCGGCAAGGGGGUCAUCCCGACUUACCAACCCGAUGCAAACUGCGAAUACCGGAGAAUGUUAUCACGGGAGACACACGGCGGGUGCUAACGUCCGUCGUGAAGAGGGAAACAACCCAGACCGCCAGCUAAGGUCCCAAAGUCAUGGUUAAGUGGGAAACGAUGUGGGAAGGCCCAGACAGCCAGGAUGUUGGCUUAGAAGCAGCCAUCAUUUAAAGAAAGCGUAAUAGCUCACUGGUCGAGUCGGCCUGCGCGGAAGAUGUAACGGGGCUAAACCAUGCACCGAAGCUGCGGCAGCGACACUGUGUGUUGUUGGGUAGGGGAGCGUUCUGUAAGCCUGCGAAGGUGUGCUGUGAGGCAUGCUGGAGGUAUCAGAAGUGCGAAUGCUGACAUAAGUAACGAUAAAGCGGGUGAAAAGCCCGCUCGCCGGAAGACCAAGGGUUCCUGUCCAACGUUAAUCGGGGCAGGGUGAGUCGACCCCUAAGGCGAGGCCGAAAGGCGUAGUCGAUGGGAAACAGGUUAAUAUUCCUGUACUUGGUGUUACUGCGAAGGGGGGACGGAGAAGGCUAUGUUGGCCGGGCGACGGUUGUCCCGGUUUAAGCGUGUAGGCUGGUUUUCCAGGCAAAUCCGGAAAAUCAAGGCUGAGGCGUGAUGACGAGGCACUACGGUGCUGAAGCAACAAAUGCCCUGCUUCCAGGAAAAGCCUCUAAGCAUCAGGUAACAUCAAAUCGUACCCCAAACCGACACAGGUGGUCAGGUAGAGAAUACCAAGGCGCUUGAGAGAACUCGGGUGAAGGAACUAGGC